GCUGGGUGUGGUGGUGUGCACCUGUAAUCCCAGCUACUUGGGAGGCUGAGGCAGGAGAAUUGCUUGAACCUGGGAGGCAGAGGUUGCAGUGAGCCGAGAUCAUGCCACUGCACUCUAGCCUGGGUGACAGAGUGAGACUCUGUCUCAA
rnacentral:SRP_RNA from 1 species